GACAGUGCCUUUAUAACUGGAUUACUCACAUAUCAUCAUUAACUGUGACACUCCUGGGUUUUUACUGCUUCCCUAGUUCCUAUCAUCUUCUGCAAGUUUUAUCCCUUCCUUGCAGAUGUGCCAAGAUGUAUUUCUUUAAUAUCUUUUCAGCAGAUGAACAUGGGAGCACAUAAAAAGUAUGGUUUGGACACCAUGGGCAGCAACAAGAGCUGUCUUCAUUUCUGCCCCAAAUUCCUAUCAAACCUCUGCCCUCUGUGUGCGCUGGUUUUCCCUUUGCUCCAUCUGUUAGGUAUAAAUAAGGGGUUGGAAAGGACCGAGACACGGUGUUGAGCUCUUGUUUAAUUCUGGUUUUGAUAUUUCGUGGCCAUUUUUACCAUUUGCCCUCAAUCCAAGUGCUUUCGUCGAAUACGGGUACCACGUUUGGAAUUGGUGGCUUUAGGAACGUGUGACUUUGCCCUGUAUUUUAGAGAGCAGUCUCCUUGCUCUGCUUACUGUGUGCAAGUGGAUAUUUCGAGUGAGACACUGAUGAAACUAUCCUCACUACCUCUUGAAUCGCAGCUGUGUGGGCAGAGGCACGUUGCCAAAGGAAAAGACUACAGAAGUCCAGGAAAGCACCCAUGUAUUCACUCUCCCUCCAAAGGAUGUGAGCUCAGAACGGCGGAGGAGGCGAACGAUCUGCAGGGGUCUGCUCCAUGUGUUUGUGCCUGCAGUGUAGGUUUGUGAGGUGGCUCAUGCCAUGUGAAGACAUCUGGCCCAUGUUAGUCACGAGCUUUGUGUUUGUUUCUCCACGGCUACAACAGAUUGAUCCAAGCAGCCCCACAGGGAACCUGCUGAGGAAGCAGAGCUCGUGCUCAGCCCUCACCUCUUCCACCUCUGCUCCAUAACCACAAGGCAGAGCACAUCUCCAGCCUGCAGGUCUCCAGGUGAGUCUGGUGUUCUGUUAGCUGCUGCUGCCCAGGAACUGUUUAAUCUGGGUCUGAGAGGCUCAAGGAAAGGAAGCACGGCUGGCACUGGUGCCCAGGCCAGGCAGUGUUUGGUCCUGUUGCUGCUACCUCUGCUGCUGCUCUAGGUACAUAUGUGUCACCUGGGAAUUAACACAAGGGAAAUGACAAUCUAAAGAAGUUGUGUGUGUGCAUUCGCAUAGCAGAGUUUCUGUCUGUUGUAGUGUUUAAAUUAAACUGCUUUGGUAAGUCCUGACUUCUCACACAGAGAUGCCUCACACCUUUCCAGACACCUCUCACAUCUCUGACAUCUGCCUGUCCUGAACAAUGAGGGCCCAGCUGCAAGCAGAGAAAACUCAAAAACCAUUGCAUAUCUAUUUAUUUUUUUCUGGACAAACAAUUUUAUUUUAGGUAAUGCGUCUAUACACUGUACAUUCAGUCACUGUGGUAUAUAAGCAUAGCUAUUUUCAUACAUAAUCUCAUAAAGUCCUUUAUUUUACAAUAUUAUCUGCUUCGAGGG